rfam:Allomyces macrogynus ATCC 38327 genomic scaffold supercont3.45, whole genome shotgun sequence.
GCCGUUGUAGCUCAGUGGCAGAGCAUUUGUCUUGUAAACAAAAGGCCCCGAGUUCAAUCCUCGGCUGUGGCA